rnacentral:lncRNA from 1 species
UAUUUCUCUAAACAUAAUGAAAAAGAAAAGAAAUCAGCAUUUAUAUUAUUUUUUGGGAAAACUUCAAAACCCCCUGUGGUUUCAUAGUUUCUCACUAUCCCCCCCUGUGGUUUAAAGUGUAUCAAUUUACCCCCAUGUGGUUUUGUUUUUAUUUUUUCGGUAGCUUUUUCGUUAAUAUUUCGUUAAAUUAUAUAUAAAAAACUUCAGAUACCCGAUUUAUCAAAUAUUCACUUUAGUACCCUUUAAUUUUAACUUUAUUACUGAUUUGAGAAAAAAAAAAUAAUGAAAUUGAUAAGAAAAAAAGAAAAAUAAAAUCACAGGGGGGCAAAGUGAGAAACUACGAAACCACAAGGGGGAUUUUUGAAGUUUUUUCUUUUUUUAAAAAAAAGAAUAAUAAAUGAUAAGAGUGGGAGGAGCGUGCAAAGAUAGAG